UACGUAGGGUGCGAGCGUUAAUCGGAAUUACUGGGCGUAAAGCGUGCGCAGGCGGUUAUGUAAGACAGAUGUGAAAUCCCCGGGCUUAACCUGGGAACUGCGUUUGUGACUGCAUAACUAGAGUGCGGCAGAGGGGGGUGGAAUUCCACGUGUAGCAGUGAAAUGCGUAGAUAUGUGGAGGAACAUCGAUGGCGAAGGCAGCCCCCUGGGUCGACACUGACGCUCAUGCACGAAAGCGUGGGGAGCAAACAGG
rnacentral:rRNA from 1 species